rnacentral:rRNA from 1 species
UACAGAGGGUGCAAACGUUGCUCGGAAUUACUGGGCGUAAAGCGCGUGUAGGCGGAGCCGCAAGUCAGAUGUGAAAGCCCCGAGCUCAACUCGGGAAUUGCAUCUGAAACUGCGGUUCUUGAGUACCGGAGAGGGUGGCGGAAUUCCAGGUGUAGAGGUGAAAUUCGUAGAUAUCUGGAGGAACACCGGUGGCGAAGGCGGCCACCUGGACGGUGACUGACGCUGAGACGCGAAAGCGUGGGGAGCAAAUAGG